CGGCUCUCAGAAGCCACGGCAUGGCCCCGCUCCGAGGGUGGGGGGCCGCUCCACACGUAGGAGCCAGAGAAGGGAAAUGCCACUGCUUCCAGGAGCUGCUUGAGCUUUUUCUUUGAAAAUAACAUCACACCCUCUUUCCUGCCGAAGAGUGGCUGCUUAACCAGUGUCAUAGAUGGAGCUCAGGGAAUCCACAUGCUCUGGAGGCAGGACCAACUGGUCACUGAAUGGAUUCCCCAAUCCCUGUGCAGUAAGGAAAUGGAGGAGUUAACUGGAGAUUCACCUGAAAGUAGU